AUUGAACGCUGGCGGCAUGCUUUACACAUGCAAGUCGAACGGUAACAGGGUGCUUGCACCGCUGACGAGUGGCGAACGGGUGAGUAAUGCGUCGGAACGUGCCGAGUAGUGGGGGAUAACGCAGCAAAAGUUGUGCUAAUACCGCAUACGUACUGAGGGAGAAAGUGGGGGACCUUCGGGCCUCACGCUAUUCGAGCGGCCGACGUCUGAUUAGCUAGUAGGUGAGGUAAAGGCUCACCUAGGAGACGAUCAGUAGCGGGUCUGAGAGGAUGAUCCGCCACACUGGGACUGAGACACGGCCCAGACUCCUACGGGAGGCAGCAGUGGGGAAUUUUGGACAAUGGGCGAAAGCCUGAUCCAGCCAUGCCGCGUGUCUGAAGAAGGCCUUCGGGUUGUAAAGGACUUUUGUCAGGGAGGAAAUCCCUAGUGCUAAUAACACUGGGGGAUGACAGUACCUGAAGAAUAAGCACCGGCUAACUACGUGCCAGCCGCCGCGGUAA
rnacentral:rRNA from 1 species